GUGGGGAAUAUUGGGCAAUGGGCGCAAGCCUGACCCAGCAACGCCGCGUGAAGGAAGAAGGCUUUCGGGUUGUAAACUUCUUUUAUUGAGGACGAAACAAAUGACGGUACUCGAUGAAUAAGCCACGGCUAACUACGUGCC
rnacentral:rRNA from 1 species